AAACCAACAGGGAUUGCCUUAGUAGCGGCGAGUGAAGAGGCAAAAGCUCAAAUUUGAAAUCUGCCAACAGGCCGAGUUGUAAUUUGAAGAUGGCAUUCAGGAACUGCCUGCGCUAAAGUCUCUUGGAAUAGAGCAUCAUGGAGGGUGAGAAUCCCGUGAGGCGNGGAUCACAGUUCUGUGUUGAUUGCUUUCGACGAGUCGAGUUGUUUGGGAAUGCAGCUCCAAGUGGGUGGUAAAUUCCAUCUAAAGCUAAAUAUUGGCGGGAGACCGAUAGCGAAGAAGUACUGUGAAGGAAAGAUGAAAAGAACUUUGAAAAGAGAGUGAAAAAGUACGUGAAAUUGUUGAAAUGGAAGGGCUUGAAAUUAGACAUGGNGUUCGUGUUCCACUGCCUUUUGGNUGUGUACUCGCGUUCGCUGGGCCAGCAUCAGUUUGGAGAGUUGGAAAAACGGUUAGGAAUGUGGCAAUCNUCGGGUUGUGUUAUAGCCUANUCAAAUACAGCUACUCUAGACUGAGGACCGCUUAUAGGAUGCUGGCGUAAUGAUUUCAAGCCA
rnacentral:rRNA from 1 species